CUUUGCUUUGUUUCUAGCCACAAUAUUUUAAGAAUUUUAAAUUUUCAAGUAAUGUUAAAGGAGAGCACAUGAUUUAGUUAAAGGGGACACAAGUUUACUAUGUUUAAGGAAUUCUGUUAUAAUGGAAAUAGUACUAAUUGAAUCAUGGCAUCAUGGAAUGAACACGGGGUUAGGAAUCCGGAGUUCUGGGUCCACAUCCUGGCUCUGGGACAACAGCAUUUUGUAUGUGAACAUUACUUCUGAGAAGCACGAAGUGCCACACACACAAAUGCAAUAUGUUAUAAUUAGUGGUGGAAGGAACAGAGAGUACAAUUGCAGAUAAUUUCUGAAACCUCGGCCAAGAACCAGAGCCUGGUCGGUGCCGGUGAUUUCAGAAAUGAAUCCAGUGCCGGUGCUUGUGUGAAGGAAGGAGACUGAUCCUCUGGAUUUGCAGAGUCCUGGAAAAUACCUUUGGUGAUGAAAAACAUCUAUUUGGACAAGGCAGCCUCCAGUGGGGAGCUGUGGGUUUCCGAGGUGACUGUCUGAGGGCGGAGACAGGACCCCUGAGCAGUGUCCUCAGCCUCCGCCACCUCACGUCCCUGUGCUGCAGCCACAGGACUUUUCCCACUCUGAGCCCACUGGGCAGGUUCUGCUCCUCCACCUGCCUUCGCAGUGCUUCCCCCUCUGCCUGGACCGCACUUGAGGGGUACAAUGAACGGACUGUGGAAGACAGAGUUUAUUUUCGUAAGGCAGUUUCAUGUUUUCAGGUAAUCAGUUGGCAUGUAUCUAUUAAGAAUGGUUUUGCUAGUACGUUUUCAACAUUUAGGUUGGAACAUAAAGUGGCCUUUGCAGAAAUCAUUUUAUGUCUCCCUCGACCCCAGAUUUUAUGUAAGUCCCCGUUGACACCCCUGCUCAAAGCUGCACAAGUCCCUUUGGAGGAUGUUAUAUGAUUUUAAAGGGUCACUGAGAUUAGGACACAGAGGAGGAAGAAGACAAGAAUGGUUGGAAAUCACCUAGGGCAAAGCAAAUUCAUGCCAAAAAAGAUUUUGGGGGAGGAGCUGAAUGGUACCACUAAUGCCUCCAACAUCCUGCUUAAUAAAACUUUCAUACGCAGCCAUAUUUCCCAAGUUUCUCAAGGACUGCUUAAGUGGGGACCCCUUCAAACUAGGUGGGGACUUAUUAAAGUCCAAGGAGAUGAUGUUUAUUGGCUCUGCGUGGUCAGCUACGUCUGCAGGCUGUCAGGGAACGCAGCUCAUUGCCUCUUGGGUGUCUGUCCCCAGCACACGGGGCACUGAUGCUUUGGGAACAUCCUUCCUCCCCAACCCCCAUCCUGGAUUCUGGUCUUGAACCAAGCAUGUGGCCAGCCUGGGAAUAAAAACACUGUAUCUGACCCUUGGACCACAGAUUCUUCCCCUCCAGGAAGAAGAAAGCCAAGGGGACUGGUCAUAGGAGAGGACAAAGCUGGGCCGGGGCUGUGUUCUCAUCCCUCGCUGCUGCCCCUGACUCCUCUUGCCCAAGCACUGGCUCUCUCGCUCAUUGGUUUCAUUUUUUAGUCUGAGAGAUGCUGUGACGUGAGCUGACUGAACAGAGGCAGGGACCCUGGCUUAGGUGCUGUUGAAUUCCCAGCACCAGCCACCUGCUGGCUGUUUGCUGACAGUUUGAUGAAUAAAUUAGUAACACUGCUUUCCAUUCA